CUUAAAUUAUAAUAAUUAGACGUCAUUAGCCUAGAAUAAAGAUUUCCGCACUUUGAUUAUUUAACUUGUUUGUUUGCAUAAGCAUGAUUAUCUUAAAUUUGAAAAAUGUUUAAUGACAUUCAAAUAAUCAGAUUUUUAUAAAACGAGAUUUAAUAAAUUGAUAUUGGACUUGUUGGAUAGAUCAUAUUAAAUCAUGUACUUUAGGCUCAAGAAAAAGAUAAUUCGGAUAAGUUACGUCUGAGAUAUUUAUGUUUAAAGAAAUGUCUAUUUAAUAGUAUUUUACUUAAAUGGGAUUUUGGCAUUUGAGCCGCCCAUGGUCCACGGGUGAAGGUGGAUAACUAUUAUUUAUUUUAAAAGUAUAUCCCAAAUAUUUAAUCCUAGUUUUAUAUAUGAAAUGAUUGGUUGGUUGAUUAAAAACCUAUCCUAGUCAAGGUCUACUUUUGAAACUAAUUUUAAAACUAUUUAGUAGAAAGUUCACGUGCUAGCCUUAACCCAAAUUGAUAAGUUUGACUUGAUAGUUGUACUUUAUCUAUAUGCUAUAUCAUGAAAAAAAAUUGUAUGGGACACGUGUAGUAGGUAUGGGUUUCUUGGAUUGAAUAAGAUAAUAUUAUAGUACAAUAUGAUUAGACCUUUCAUUGCUUCUCACAAGAUCUUGACUUAUCAUGUAUUCUAGAUAAAUUCAAUCAGCAUGUACGUAUUCCAAUUUCCAUAGGAAACCUACCCUAUAAAUACCUCACACACAAAUUUCAUAUAUUAUAUACGGCAGAGAGAUAAUCAGAGAGAGAAAGAAAAAUACAGGCUCACUGUCCGACAGAAAAGCAACCUGAAGAGAGGGGAAGAGAGAGGGAAGUAUUGGAAAUAAAGUUGUCAUACAGCAAAUAUUUUAAUCACGUGUUUUUCAAAGUGGAGAAAGGAUUUUGAACAUGCAUUCAGAUUUUUCUAACGAGGUAAGAUACAUUUAUGUGCAAAGUGUGUUAAGUUUUCUUAUGCUCUUAUAUACAAUUAAUAUGCAUGGAUUAUUAAUGGACCUUUGGGUCCUAGAGAAAGAGAUAUGAUAUUUCUAUGGGAAUUUAAGAGGACCUAAGAUGGGUGUGUCGCUUGGUCACCGAUAUACUCCAUAAGAGAAGAGCGGUAUGAAGUGUAUAAUUUAUUUGUUAUGUAAUUGUGUAUGGAAAUUGCACGUAUCUUAUUGGGUGUUUUUAAAUACUCACUCUUACAUCAAUUUUACAGGUUAGUUCGGGUCGAUUGGAACAGUGGCGCUUUGGUGAUGCGAGUUGCCAAGUGGAUAAAGAAUAGAGAAAAAGAAAUAAGUUUGUUGUUUUAAAUUUACCAGUUAGUUUAAUUUAUUCAGAAUGUGUUAUUUGAAUUAAAUAAAAGUUUAUAUUUAUGUUUAGAUACGAUUUUCACAAUUUAAAUUUAGAUUUAUAAAUGUUGCAGUUAUUUGUUUAAUAAAGAAUUUUAUUUUUGUAGUUCCAC
rnacentral:lncRNA from 1 species